UGAGUCCUUGAAAUUCUUUUCGCAAGCAAUUUCGUCUCACAAUCGCUCGAUUCCAACUUCACUUCCUGUUUAGAUGUAGCAAGAAGAAGGUAAGAGGAAUUCUACCGCUACCACCAAUAUUACUGCUUAGUUUACUGCUAACGUAGGAGAAUUACUAACGUACUUCGGUAAUAAAUUUAUGACGCCCUCAAUGCCAGAUUUUCCUUGCUUUACUAAUACCGAGAAACAUGAUUAAUUUGCCAUUGAUGACAGAAUGUCCGACUAAGAAUUGCCAAGUAGACUUCCACGCCAACGAGCAGUGUUGAGUAUGGGAAUGGCAAUACUAAGUAUGAAAUGCCGCUACGUUACACUUGGAUAUUAGUAAUUCGAGCAAACUGACCUGCCAAUUUUAAGGAUGAAUGCGUUUCCUUUGAGCUUUAUAGCUGGCGAAAAUAAGUUUCUACAACUCUUGCAACUGUUACUUAUCCAUCUCAUUUAGGUAGCGUGGCAGCAGGAGCGGAAGAGUGGAAAUAGAGAAAAGGUUUGAUAGAAAAGAUAGUAAAGAAGUACGGUAGGAGAUUGACGGAGGAAUGGAAGUAUUGAGAAAGGUUGAGUUGAAUGAAUUGUAGAGACGGUAGUUCAAGUGUGCGAAACGCAAUUGCUUGAUGGUGCUGUAGCUAUCAUACUUUGUCUUAAUAGGUGACCUUUGGAAACUUGAGAUCGACGAAUCUUCAAAUGUAAAAUACUAAAGUGGUAGGGAAUUCUUAAGUGCGCAAAUUCAAUAUUGUAAGUGAGUCAGUUAGUUUUGCAGAUGAACGAUAAAAGAAGGGUUUUGCAAUUGAUAAAACGCGAUUUAAGAAAAUGACUGCUAAAGAAAUUCAAUGAAGAUUAUUGAGUGAACGAACGGUUGUUGAAAGAAAUGCUUUUUCUUCGGAAAACCACCAAUUCAAUUUACAUGUCAAUUAAUUUCAUAAACUUA